CAGUAGCCGCGGGAAUACGAAGGGGGCUAGCGUUGUUCGGAUUUACUGGGCGUAAAGCGCACGUAGGCGGAUCCUUAAGUCAGAGGUGAAAUCCCAAGGCUCAACCUUGGAACUGCCUUUGAUACUGGGGAUCUCGAGUUCGGGAGAGGUGAGUGGAACUGCGAGUGUAGAGGUGAAAUUCGUAGAUAUUCGCAAGAACACCAGUGGCGAAGGCGGCUCACUGGCCCGAUACUGACGCUGAGGUGCGAAAGCGUGGGGAGCAAACAGGAUUAGAUACCCCCGUAGUCCCUGUCUCUUAUAC
rnacentral:rRNA from 1 species